AGAGUUUGAUCAUGGCUCAGAACGAACGCUGGCGGCAGGCCUAACACAUGCAAGUCGAGCGAACCCUUCGGGGUUAGCGGCGGACGGGUUAGUAACGCGUGGGAAUAUGCCCAAAGGUACGGAAUAGCCUCGGGAAACUGAGAGUAAUACCGUAUGUGCCCUUCGGGGGAAAGAUUUAUCGCCUUUGGAUUAGCCCGCGUUGGAUUAGGUAGUUGGUGGGGUAAUGGCCUACCAAGCCGACGAUCCAUAGCUGGUUUGAGAGGAUGAUCAGCAACACUGGGACUGAGACACGGCCCAGACUCCUACGGGAGGCAGCAGUGGGGAAUCUUAGACAAUGGGGGAAACCCUGAUCUAGCCAUGCCGCGUGGACGAUGAAGGCCUUAGGGUUGUAAAGUCCUUUCAGCUGGGAAGAUAAUGACUGUACCAGCAGAAGAAGCCCCGGCUAACUCCGUGCCAGCAGCCGCGGUAAUACGGAGGGGGCUAGCGUUGUUCGGAAUUACUGGGCGUAAAGCGCACGUAGGCGGAUUGUUAAGUCGGGGGUGAAAUCCCGGGGCUCAACCCCGGAACUGCCUCCGAUACUGGCAAUCUAGAGUUCUGGAGAGGUGAGUGGAAUUCUGAGUGUAGAGGUGAAAUUCGUAGAUAUUCGGAGGAACACCAGUGGCGAAGGC
rnacentral:rRNA from 1 species